CCUCGGGUGGCAGCAGUGGGGAAUAUUGGACAAUGGGCGAAAGCCUGAUCCAGCCAUGCCGCGUGUGUGAAGAAGGCCUUCGGGUUGUAAAGCACUUUCAGUGGGGAAGAAAGCCUUGGGGCUAAUACCCUCGAGGAAGGACAUCACCCACAGAAGAAGCACCGGCUAACUCCGUGCCAGCAGCCGCGGUAAUACGGAGGGUGCGAGCGUUAAUCGGAAUUACUGGGCGUAAAGCGCGCGUAGGCGGUCUGAUAAGCCGGUUGUGAAAGCCCCGGGCUCAACCUGGGAACGGCAUCCGGAACUGUCAGGCUAGAGUGCAGGAGAGGAAGGUAGAAUUCCCGGUGUAGCGGUGAAAUGCGUAGAGAUCGGGAGGAAUACCAGUGGCGAAGGCGGCCUUCUGGACUGACACUGACGCUGAGGUGCGAAAGCGUGGGUAGCAAACAGGAUUAGAUACCCGUGUAGUC
rnacentral:rRNA from 1 species